UACCCAUUAGCUUAAUGGUAGAGCGAGAUAUUCCUAACAUUUAGAUCUAAGUUCGAAUCUUAGAUGGGUAG
rnacentral:tRNA from 1 species